rnacentral:tRNA from 2 species
GCCCGCUUGGCUAAGUGGUAUAGCGUGUCACUAGUAAUAACUAGAUGCCAUGACAAGAUCAGCGGUUCGAUUCCGCUAGUGGGCA